ensembl:sense_overlapping Gm29506 predicted gene 29506
CUGAGCAUACAAAUGGAGGAGAAACCCUGCCACCCACAGGAUUCCAAGAAGCUGACAGCGUGUGGCAUCACUGUGGACUUUCCCCACCUCUUUGUCCAAACACCUUGCUGAUGCCGUAUAGACAGGCUGAUUUGUAUGCCUACACAGAGGUAAGGAGAGAAACCAGGAGAAUAUCAAAACAGGAAACUCGAUCUACACAAAAGGAUCUAACUCUAAUUUGCAUACUGUUCUAGUUCAUCCCUGAAGGAAGGAACAUCAUUAUUUUGUUUCUGCGCAUCCUUCCUGUUUUGACAAACCCUUCCCGGUUCAUCUGACUGUGUUAAGAGUAUGAUCCACGACUCUCCUGCAGAUAGCUUCAGGAAACUGGGAGUGGUUUAAGCAGCCUGAAAAUGCGCAUGUCAGGAGUGUUGGUAUUCUGUCUGGACUCCACGCAGGUAUGCUCUGCCCCACAGUUACCUGGCAACAGCAAAGUAGGCCGGCCCAAUAUAAAAAGGGCUGCAUGCCCCCUUCUCUCUCUCACUCCUGCUUCUCUCCCUUGUCUCUCGCCCUCUUGCUCCCCUCUCCCCAUUCUCUUCCCCCCUCUCUCUGGUCAUGGCCAGCCUCUCCUCCUCUCUCCUCUCUGCCUUUCUCUCUGCCUCUACUAUGCUCUCAACUCCCCUCUCCAUGCCCUGAAUAAACUCUAUUCCAUACUAUACAAUCCUGUGGCUGGUCCCUCGGGGGAAGGGAGGCCUUGACUUGAGCCUGCUGACGCAUCCCCUUCCCCCACACCUCACCACACCCCCAUAGAACAUAUUCUUAUACCUUUAUCUUUUUAUAAACACACCGAGAAGAACAGCCUCAGUAUCCUGACAGUGUACUGUGGGAAGAGAACACCCUUGGAAGGACCAGCGAGCACUCAAGGAGAAAAAAGCUGGGAGUGACGCACUGCCUCACCCACAUGAGGAUGAUGACCGCAGCUAAUACUGUAAGCAACUUGUCCCCAGUAGGACCCACACCUUUAAGACUUAGUGUUCUGUAUUGUGUCUAAUAAUUAUUGUCUAAUUAUUGUCAAGCACGCCCCUCUUCUGAAAGAAAUAUCCUAGCAAAAGGCAUCUCACCUUGACUUAUUAUCAACAGACUAUUAAAUACAGGUUUAAGGUUUUCCUAUUUCCCAAAGAAAAGAUAACAGUUAGAGAGCCCAGAAAUUAAGGUGUGUAUACUUCUUGUGCUUCUGAGGGUUCAAAAUAAAUCUAGUACGUAAGAAGCUUUAAACUCAGAGGGUGAUGUUAACAUGAAUUUAGUUACAGAUUCAUUCAUAUAUGCAAUAAAUAUCGAACUAUUUAUGAAAUAGAUAUUCAUUUACUGCAGUUUAUUUUGUUGAAAAAUACAAAUAUACUGUGGUAUAGGGUAAACAUUUGUCUAUAUCUUAACAUAAAACAAAAGUUUAGAUUGUAAGUUGAGAGUUAAUGGCUAUAACCAACACAAAAGGAAUCGAAAGAAUAACACUGUAAACAAUUUUUACAUGUAAAAUAAAUAAACAACAAAACAAAUAUAAUUUAGAAAAUGGAAAAACAAAUUGCAUUAGGUCUUAGCAAAAUUCAUCUGUUUUUAUUUAUUUUUUGCUAGUUAUCUAUUAAUUCGGCUAAAGGCACAAUUUUGUUCCUUAAUUUUCUCUGUCUACAUUGUGUUUGCUAUCAGAUCAUAUUUUACUCAACAUCUAAUUAUAAGAUUCUACUUUAUCUCUUCCUUUUUAAUUAUUUAAUAUUCUAUGUUCACAUUAUCUUGUUUGUUUAAUUUCAUUUUCUAAAUGGCUCUGGUACCCAGAGAUAAAAACUAUUUUGUAUUUAGCCUUCUGCUCAAUUCACUUAUUAAUUAUAAUAGUUUGUGAAUUCUUUUGAAUUUUCUAUGCUUAUAAAACUAUGUGGGAAUGAUAAGGAAACUGCUUUCAUUCAAAUUUAUAGGAUUUUAACUUCUUGUUAAUCUUAUUGCACUAAUUAGGACAACACCAGUUUUUGUAAAAUAAAUGUGGUAGCAUC